rnacentral:lncRNA from 1 species
CUUGAUUUCCUGCUCUUCUGGGAGAAGAUGUUCAUUUUUCUCACCAUCUGUGGCACCUUCUGGGAUUUCAUCACUGUGCCUCAGGGAAUGGACUGAAUACAAUUUUCUGUAUAUAGGAUGGGACUCAGUCUCAAAGUGUA